AGGGCAGCCGGCCCCGCCCCGCCCUGCCUGCUCGCCACUCCCAGGGCAGCCGGCCCCGCCCCGUCCCGGCGCGCGCCCUUUCCCCCAGCACCCACCGCGCGGGGAGAGAACCUCGUGGCCAUUUGGUCUGAAGGUUCUGUGCGGCGGGGUGAGCCCGUACCCUCCAGAAGCGGUUUCCCUUACGGCCUCCUGUCCACUCCGCAGACCCUGCCCGAGGAUGCGCACCCGCUGACAGGUGCAGUUCACGGCCCCCCGGGAAGGCUGAGUCAGCCCUCUCGCCUGGCCGUCGCCCUCCCCGGACCUGUCCGGCCUCGUCCAGUGUUUUCAAAGACGUGCAGAAUGCAGCGAUUGCGAGAGAGAUUCUAACAUAGAAGACAAAAAUGAACAGCUUUCUGAUCUUGUUACUGGUUUCGAGUAAUGGACCUUAAAUAAAUCAGUGAAUGAAGUGCAAUAUAAAGCAUUUAAAAUUGGAAUACCCUUCUUGAUAGCUUCCCGAAAGAGUUAAAAGCAUCCUACCAUGAAUACCAUAUGCACACCCAUGCUUACAGCAUCAGUAUUUGUAACAACUAAAUCUCGGAAAUAGCCUGGAUGCCCAUCAUCAGAUGAAUGAAUAAAAAAAAAGUGUUUUUUAUAUGCACUGGAAUACUACUCUACCAUAAAGAAAGGUACACUUGAGACAUUUUUAGGGGAAUGGAUGCACCUGAGACCAUACUUUUAAGUGAAAUAAAUUGACCGUACAUGUUUAAAUGUCGCACUGUUUCUCUUGCGAGAGAAACUGAAAGAGUAAAUAAGGGCCAAAGUGUAUAACAGUUGGGAAGUAGGAAGAAAAUGUUCAAAUGGGGAGGGGAAGGAUAAAGGAAGGGAAAAGGAAGAAAAAGGAAAAAAGGGAAAAAUGUAAACAAAGCUUUUGUAAAUAAGGGUUGAAGGGAGGAGAAGGGAAUGGAGAAAAAAGAAUCAAGA
rnacentral:lncRNA from 1 species